rnacentral:rRNA from 1 species
CGGGUGAAUAACACGUGGGGAACCUCCCCGGAAGACCGGGAUAACUCCGGGAAACCGGAGCUAAUACCGGAUAACACCGAAGACCGCUUGGUCUUUGGUUGAAAGGCGGCCUUUGGGUGUCACUUGCGGAUGGGCCCGCGGCGCAUUANCUAGUUGGUGAGGUAACGGCUCACCAAGGCGACGAUGCGUACCCGGCCUGAGAGGGUGACCGGCCACACUGGGACUGAAACACUGCCCUUAUUCCUACGGGAGGCAGCAGUAGGGAAUCUUCCGCAAUGGGCGAAAGCCUGAGGGAGCGACGCCGCGUGAGCGAAGAAGGCCUUCGGAUCGUAAAGCUCUGUUGUGAGGGACGAAGGAGCGCCGUUCGAAGAGGGCGGCCCGGUGAGGGUACCUCACGAGGAAGGGGGAGUACGGCCGCAAGGCUGAAACUCAAAGGUAAUUACGGGGGCCCGCACAAGCGGUGGAGCAUGUGGUUUAAUUCGAAGCAACGCGAAGAACCUUACCAGGUCUUGACAUCCCCUGACAACCCAAGAGAUUGGGCGUUCCCCCUUCGGGGGGACAGGGUGACAGGUGGUGCAUGGUUGUCGUCAGCUCGUGUCGUGAGAUGUUGGGUUAAGUCCCGCAACGAGCGCAACCCUCGCCUCUAGUUGCCAGCACGAAGGUGGGCACUCUAGAGGGACUGCCGGCGACAAGUCGGAGGAAGGUGGGGAUGACGUCAAAUCAUCAUGCCCCUUAUGACCUGGGCUACACACGUGCUACAAUGGGCGGUACAAAGGGCUGCGAACNCGCGAGGGGGAGCGAAUCCCAAAAAGCCGCUCUCAGUUCGGAUUGCAGGCUGCAACUCGCCUGCAUGAAGCCGGAAUCGCUAGUAAUCGCGGAUCAGCAUGCCGCGGUGAAAACGUUCCCGGGCCUUGUACACCCCGCCCGUCACACCAACAGAGCUUGCAACAGCCGAAGU